rnacentral:rRNA from 1 species
AUUGAACGCUGGCGGCAGGCCUAACACAUGCAAGUCGAACGAGUGGCAGACGGGUGUGUAAUGUCUGGGAAACUGCGUGAUGGAGGGGGAAAACUACUGGAAACGGUAGCUAAUACCGCAUACCAUCGGAUGUGCCCAGAUGGGAUUAGCUAGUAGGUGGGGUAAAGGCUCCUCUAGGCGACGAUCCCUAGCUGGUCUGAGAGGAGGACCAGCCAAACUGGAACGGAGACACGGUCCAGACUCCGACGGGAGGCAGCAGUGGGGAAUAUUGCACAAUGGGCGCAAGCCUGAUGCAGCCAUGCCGCGUGUAUGAAGAAGGCCUUCGGGUUGUAAAGUACUGUCAGCGGGGAGGCGUUACCCGCAGAAGAAGCACCGGCUAACUCCGUGCCAGCAGCCGCGGUAAUUC